rnacentral:tRNA from 1 species
GGAGAGAUGCCCGAGUGGCCGAAGGGGCGCGAUUGGAAAUCGCGUGUGCCCUCAAAAGGGGUACCAUGGGUUCGACUCCCAUUCUCUCCG